rnacentral:rRNA from 1 species
UACGUAGGGUGCAAGCGUUAUUCGGAAUUACUGGGCGUAAAGCGUGCGCAGGCGGUGAUGUAAGUCAGGUGUGAAAUCCCCGGGCUUAACCUGGGAACUGCAUUUGUGACUGCAUCGCUGGAGUGCGGCAGAGGGGGGUGGAAUUCCACGUGUAGCAGUGAAAUGCGUAGAUAUGUGGAGGGACACCGAUGGCGAAGGCAGCCCCCUGGGUUAACACUGACGCUCAUGCACGAAAGCGUGGGGAGCAAACAGG